AUGAUAAAUCAAGGCACCAACUAUGGGGGUCUUCCUUUUCUUUAUCACCAGAUGAAGAACCAAGCCUUUCUUUAUCUGGAAAUUCUGCUUAUUAUGACUAUUACUCCAAAAUAACUUUUCUUAAAAAGAAGAUUUUACUUAUUUAUUUGAGGGAAAGAGAGUGAGCAAAUGUGAGUGAGAGAGAGAGAGCAGGAGUGGAAGGGCAGGGGGAAAGGGAGAAGCAGACUCCCCAUUGAGAAGGAAGUCCUAAGCGGGACUCAACCCCAGGACCCCGGGAUCACGACCUGAGCUGAAGGCAGAUGUUUAACCGACGGAGCCACCCAGGGCCAGAACUGGUUUCAGAUGGAUGGAGAAGGGACUUAACCAACAGAAACAAGUUCGAGAAGUCCUCCCUGGAAUAGCAGGUUAAAAAAAGCUUGCCAUAGCUUCCUACAAGCAAAUGGGAAUAUCUGACUAAAAAAGAAUAGAAAUGAACUCAUUUCUUAUUUAAAUUGGGAGUAUCAACAGCAUCAGGACUGUAACUCUACCUAAUAAUAGUCUCAAGACGUGAUGGAUGAGUUUCCAGGAGCCAUUCCAGGAAUAUUUGACAAACUGCAUGAGGAUGGUCUCCUACAACCUAAACUGCAUGGUAGGGACACAGAAAGAACGUUCGCUCCUCAGUUGCACAGUGUCUGCCUCUGGGGUCGGUUCUGCUCGCACCUCCUCUGAAGGCAGCUUUGGGUGUGAUCCCCAUCCAGCCCCUCCACCCCUGGACAGAGCUGAGGAGCCCAAGUGGAGGCGUCUGGCCCAGGGCAGGCAAUCGAGAGCAAGAAAGAGGCUGGAAGGUGAUGUGGUGCAGAUGAGGAGAAUACCAUGGAAGGUAGCAGGGGCAGCAGGUUGGAAGGAACCUGGAUCUUUGGGCAGCCAUGGAGCUGAGCUGUCUAACCAUCCUGAACCAGCCACUUACAUCUUCUGUUUCAGGACAGAAGUAAAUGUGUACUUUAAUUAAUUAAUUCAACUAAUUAAUUAAUUAAUGUUUUUUAAGAUUUUAUUUAUUUAUUUGUCAGAGAGAGAGAGAGAGAGAGAGAGAGAGAGAGCACAGGCAGGGGGAGCAGCAGGCUCCCCACUGAGCAAGGAGCCUGAUGUAGGACUCCAUCCCAGGACCCUGGGAUCAUGCCCCGAGCCGAAGGCAGACGCUUAACCCACUGAGCCACCCAGGCAUCCCAAGACUUUUAUUUUGGAGUCUCUUAUUAUGGCAGCUCAUCUGACUACGAAUACUUAGCUCUAGGAAUACCUGGGAUUUGGUGCCUUUUGUGGAUAUCAUUACCACAAACCCUGUCCUCUCUCUUAAGAGGUCCCAAAUGAGUCUGUCUCUAUUAUAAGCAAAAGAUUAUUAGGCAGCAUUUGCUAGGCUUAGCAGCAGAAACCACCCUACGAUCUCAACGGCUGACAGCAACAAAGGUUAUUUCUUGUUUAUGCUACAUGACAGCUGCAGGUUAUUUGAAGUUCUGUUCUAAAUGUGUUCACAUUCUGUGUCUCAGACCAAAGGAGUGGCCCCUAUAUCAGUCCAGAGACAGAAGAGAAAAUGCCAUGGCUGAAUCUUGCAAUGACUCUUAAAGCUUCUGCUGGGAUGUGGCAUAUGUCACGUCUAUUCACGUUCCAUUGGUCAAAGGAAGCAAAUGGCCUAGGCUGACACCAAGGGGGUUAGUGAGGUAUAGUCUCCCCACAGAGAAGCACUGCAAGUCUCAUUGCUAUGGGCAGAGAUGGAUCAUCUUUCACUAAGAGUGCAGCAAAUAGUUGGGAAUAAUAAUACAAUCCGCUGCAAGAGCCCAAAGUGAAAAAACAUGUAUUCUGCCAGGACAGAUGCUAUUCUUAUUCCCAUUUUGCAGGUGAGGAAACUGAGGCUCUGAGAAGAUAAGGGCCACACCAUCAUAUAGUCUUAUGCUACUCUCCAACUGCAAAUUCUGAGAAGCUCAUUUCAGUUUUUCUGCU